rnacentral:rRNA from 1 species
CCUACGGGAGGCAGCAGUAGGGAAUCUUGGGCAAUGGGCGCAAGCCUGACCCAGCCAUGCCGCGUGUGUGAAGAAGGCCCUAGGGUUGUAAAGCACUUUCAGUCGCGAAGAAAUGCUUGGGGUUAAUAACCUCGAGUCUUGACGUUAACGACAGAAGAAGAUCCGGCUAACUCCGUGCCAGCAGCCGCGGUAAUACGGAGGGAUCGAACGUUAAUCGGAAUUACUGGGCGUAAAGCGCGCGUAGGCGGUUUGUUAAGUGGGAUGUGAAAGCCCCGGGCUCAACCUGGGAACGGCAUCCGGAACUGUCAAGCUAGAGUGCAGGAGAGGAAGGUAGAAUUCCCGGUGUAGCGGUGAAAUGCGUAGAGAUCGGGAGGAAUACCAGUGGCGAAGGCGGCCUUCUGGACUGACACUGACACUGAGGUGCGAAAGCGUGGGUAGCAAACAGGAUUAGAUACCCUGGUAGUCCACGCCGUAAACGAUGUCGACCAGCCGUUGGGUGCCUAGCGCACUUUGUGGCGAAGUUAACGCGAUAAGUCGACCGCCUGGGGAGUACGGCCGCAAGGUUAAAACUCAAAUGAAUUGACGGA